rnacentral:rRNA from 1 species
UGGGGAAUUUUGGACAAUGGGCGAAAGCCUGAUCCAGCAAUGCCGCGUGUGUGAAGAAGGCCUUCGGGUUGUAAAGCACUUUUGUCCGGAAAGAAAUCCUUGGCUCUAAUACAGUCGGGGGAUGACGGUACCGGAAGAAUAAGCACCGGCUAACUACGUGCCAGCAGCCGCGGUAAUACGUAGGGUGCAAGCGUUAAUCGGAAUUACUGGGCGUAAAGCGUGCGCAGGCGGUUUGCUAAGACCGAUGUGAAAUCCCCGGGCUCAACCUGGGAACUGCAUUGGUGACUGGCAGGCUAGAGUAUGGCAGAGGGGGGUAGAAUUCCACGUGUAGCAGUGAAAUGCGUAGAGAUGUGGAGGAAUACCGAUGGACGAAGGCAGCCCCCUGGGCCAAUACUGACGCUCAUGCACGAAAGCGUGGGGAGCAAACAGGAUUAGAUACCCUGGUAGUCCACGCCCUAAACGAUGUCAACUAGUUGUUGGGGAUUCAUUUCCUUAGUAACGUAGCUAACGCGUGAAGUUGACCGCCUGGGGAGUACGGUCGCAAGAUUAAAACUCAAAGGAAUUGACGGGGUCAUAGCUGUUUCCU